AUUGAACGCUGGCGGCAGGCUUAACACAUGCAAGUCGAGCGGGGUGAUGGUGCUUGCACUAUCACUUAGCGGCGGACGGGUGAGUAAUGCUUAGGAAUCUGCCUAUUAGUGGGGGACAACAUCUCGAAAGGGAUGCUAAUACCGCAUACGUCCUACGGGAGAAAGCAGGGGAUCUUCGGACCUUGCGCUAAUAGAUGAGCCUAAGUCGGAUUAGCUAGUUGGUGGGGUAAAGGCCUACCAAGGCGACGAUCUGUAGCGGGUCUGAGAGGAUGAUCCGCCACACUGGGACUGAGAUACGGCCCAGACUCCUACGGGAGGCAGCAGUGGGGAAUAUUGGACAAUGGGGGGAACCCUGAUCCAGCCAUGCUGCGUGUGUGAAGAAGGCCUUAUGGUUGUAAAGCACUUUAAGCGAGGAGGAGGCUACUUUAGUUAAUACCUAGAGAUAGUGGACGUUACUCGCAGAAUAAGCACCGGCUAACUCUGUGCCAGCCGCCGCAGUAA
rnacentral:rRNA from 1 species